GUCCCUCUGCCUCACCUUGAAGAGAGAGGAGGCAUGAUGCUCAGCAGGUCUAGCACAUAGGAGCUCAGCUAAGGGGAAAAGACAGUGAGCUCCUGAAGUCUGCUGUUUCUUUCAGCAAAUGCUGAGUGCCUGCUGUAUGCUAGACUCUUAGAACAUAGCCGUGAAGACAAUGACGAGCUAUCAAGCACGUUUGUUUUGUGUCUGUGAACCAAGUGGUAAAUCGAUGAGAUGCUCUGACCUGCCUGGAUGAGAGCAGACUUUCCUGGGGAUCUGAGGGCCCAGGAGCCUAGGCAAGAGAGGCAAGCUUCAGGCAGAGACCUGUAUAAGGCCAAGCAAGGCCCCAUAUCCCUCAUCAGGAAGAGCACAGGGGAUAAAUGUGCCUGGCUGUGGGCUUGGGUUUGCUGUGAGGCAGUCUGGGCCCUGGCUCCCAUCCCUAAGAGAAGGCAAGGGCGCUGUCGUGUUCGCCUUCCCUCCCCGUGGGCCAAGAGUAGAAGCUCAUCCGUCAAAAUGGCGGGAGAGCAUUCCCGGGAGACCUGAGCUCUAGCCAGGCUUGCAGGUGGCCUCAGGGAGGUGAGCUUCUUGCUGCUUGCUUCUGAGCUUCCUCAGGCUGCAUGAGAGGAGGGGCUGGUCUCUGGCUGGCUCUCUCCCUUAUCAUACCCCAGAUCCCUGGCCACAUGGCACCUCUGAACCCCACGCCUGAGGGAAGAAGAUUCCUGACCUUAGGACUUGGGGAACUAGAGUGGGUGGGACCUGGGGUACAGCCUGGACUGGGUUCUGUGGCAUAGCCACACCCCACAGUCCCAGGGCCGCAAGGGAGGGGGAGCUGUCUCUUUAAGAGCCUCCAGGCUGCUAGGAGCAGAUGGCCAGACCGGCCGGGGCCCCUUGUCCUUUGUGUGCCUUCUCACAAAAGAGGGGGCCAGCUGGGGAGGGGGCGGCUGCAGCAGGUGGGAGGGGUGGGACCUUGCCUCUCUCCUGCGCCCUUGCAGCUUGAGGGUGAAAUACAUCACUCGAAACCAGCCACUUCUGCACCCUGUGGCCCCCACAGUUGUCCUUAAACUCUGAUGCCCCUCCCGUGUUGUGUCUCUCCUUGGCAGAAGGAUCACUAUAUCAGGGCUCUCAGACAGCCCUCUUACCUCAAAAAUAAAUAAAUAAAUAAA
rnacentral:lncRNA from 1 species